UUAUAAAAAUUGAAAAGAGUAAAGGAGA
rnacentral:sRNA from 1 species